rnacentral:rRNA from 1 species
AGCUGAUGCUGGUCUCUCGGGACAUGUGCACGCUUCAUAAGUACAUUCAACCACUUGUGCACUUUUGAUAGAUUCGCAGAGUUGCCCUCUCAGGUCAGUAAAUGACUUGGUUGGUCGGGAUUGUCACAGUCCUGGCUUUGACUUUGUGGGUCUAUUAUCUUAUACACACUUGUAUGUCCAUGAAUGUUAUUUUCUUGGGCCAUGUGCCUAUAAAACCUAAUACAACUUUCAACAACGGAUCUCUUGGCUCUCGCAUCGAUGAAGAACGCAGCGAAAUGCGAUAAGUAAUGUGAAUUGCAGAAUUCAGUGAAUCAUCGAAUCUUUGAACGCACCUUGCGCCCCUUGGUAUUCCGAGGGGCAUGCCUGUUUGAGUGUCAUUAAAUUCUCAAAUCUAUAGAGCUUUUUUGUGAUAUAGAUUUGGAUUGUUGGGGGCUGCUGGCUUUUUACCAAGUUGGCUCCUCUUAAAUGCAUUAGCGGGACUUUAUUGCCUCUGCGCACAGUGUGAUAAUUAUCUACGCUGGCCGACAUGCAAUGACUU